ensembl:lncRNA
UGGACCUCUCUUUAGAAAAAAAAUUAUAAAAUAAGAUGGCAGUAGGAUUAAGUUAAGGGGGGCAGUGGUGGUCAGGUAUUCCAUUGAUUACAAGGUACCAUUAAAGAUCAAGAGAGGAGGCACUUAGAGACAUCCAUCAGGCUUAGAUUGAAGUGGUCGUAAUGAUCUUCCUGUACACCAUAAAUAAAACUGAUGUGUUGCUUCCAUCUCGUCCUUACUGCUCUGGAUUUGUUAUAAAGCAGCUUAGCCCUCCUCCUUAUAGGCAAGCGAGCAUCCGUUAGGACAACCCCCCCACCCGCCAACACCCACCUGUGCCGCUGAGCAACUUUGCAAGAAAUCCAUCAGGACUGCGUUGGGAUGAACAGAUCAUGUUAGCUACCCCCCAGGGAGAGAGGUCAUUGGAGCUAUGAGUCACGGCUGUCAUAUGAAAAACACAGCAGAGGCGUGUUUAGACUGCCAGAUGAGCAUCUCAGAUGCACGUUUACGCCACUGCCAGGUGCUGAACACGAACUGGGACUGGCAUCUAAAGACCCGAAAAUGUAAAGAGUGUCAGUUUCGCUCACUUAAUUGUGAGCAUUCCUGACAAAAUGAAGAUCUUCUAAAGAAAAAAAAACAAAUAACCUCCCCAAACAAUAGUAUUUCUGUCGUUUACACAGAUUUCUCACCAUUCAUACAUCACAUCUGGUCAGGCAACACUGGGAAGCAACAAUAAUAAUGGAUAAUAUGACAACUGCUGCAGAAUUUAUGGAAAGGAACUCCUGUCUUCCACUACAGAAUGACGUAAUAUGUUUACAACAUGAAGAACAAUUGUAAAUUAAAAACAGCGUGACAAACAUCUGCUGUGGAUCCACAACGCUAUGAGAGGGCUGCCCCCUCUAGGUUUUCAUCUCCAUUUGCUUCCUUUGGUUUGUUGGUUCCAGGAUUAAAGAAUAUAAAAAAAAAAAAGAAAAAAAAAAGAUUGUUUUUGGAGAUCUCUGUUAGUUUAUGAUGGAAAGGCCUACUUAUAAAAAAAAAAAAACAAGUGCCUGUUGACCCUUACUGUGGGUGAGGUUAGUCGAUGCACAGCUGUAGGUAGGUCUGUAGUGCAGGGUUAAUUGAGAGCACAAUUUACAGUGUGCAUUUAUAUAUUCCAGGAGGAAACCAAAUUAAGCUGGUGGAACAUCAAAUGCUUUCCUGCAGAUUUACUCACUUUUAAAUAAAACCUUCCUGAAAGCAUGCAAAUACAUUAACAUUGUGGUGCACGAUGUAUGAUUUUCAAAUGGUGUUCUAUAAGCUUCUAUACAAUGACACACAGUCCCCAAUCCCCAACCCACUAAGCAAUCGAGGAAUGCAGCAUUCCUGCUUUUAAAAGUCCACUGUGCCUCAUUAUUCAGCAAAGCUGUGCAUCAUCACCCUAGGUGAUGGCGUGUUUUUCGCAGCACAACAAUGCAAGCUGGGUGGGAUACAGGAAGAACAACAGAGAGGUGAAAUCAUGGGCAGAUUCUAGUCGCCCUGUCAGCGACAGCAAAAAAAGAAAAAAGAAGAAGAAGAACUCCAUACAGGGUCCCAUGGGGAUUCAUGCUACAGCAGUUGACCCUCAGCUGAGGUAGAUGCAGGGCAUCCACAUGGUAUGCCCCCUACUGGUAUAAGGUAAUAAUAGGUCACAGUACCUCCUACGGCUCACCACGAGCCAGCGAGAGCAUGACAGGAACCUUUUGUAUCUCUAGAUGUGCUGAAGGCAAAUGUACUCAGUCGAAAACAAUGAUGCAACGGCGCUGAUCAGGUGCAUGUUUAUAUACAUGCUCG